rnacentral:rRNA from 1 species
UAAGCAUAUCAAUAAGCGGAGGAAAAGAAACCAACAGGGAUUGCCCUAGUAACGGCGAGUGAAGCGGCAACAGCUCAAAUUUGAAAUCUGGCUUUCGGGCCCGAGUUGUAAUUUGUAGAGGAUGAUUUUGAUGCGGUGCCUUCCGAGUUCCCUGGAACGGGACGCCAUAGAGGGUGAGAGCCCCGUCUGGUUGGAUGCCAAAUCUCUGUAAAUCUCCUUCGACGAGUCGAGUAGUUUGGGAAUGCUGCUCUAAAUGGGAGGUAUAUGUCUUCUAAAGCUAAAUACCGGCCAGAGACCGAUAGCGCACAAGUAGAGUGAUCGAAAGAUGAAAAGCACUUUGAAAAGAGAGUUAAAAAGUACGUGAAAUUGUUGAAAGGGAAGCGUUUAUGACCAGACUUGGGCUUGGUUAAUCAUCUGGGGUUCUCUCCAGUGCACUUUUCCAGCCCAGGCCAGCAUCAGUUUUCGCCGGGGGAUAAAGACUUCGGGAAUGUGGCUCCCCUCGGGGAGUGUUAUAGCCCGUUGUGUAAUACCCUGGUGGGGACUGAGGUUCGCGCUUCUGCAAGGAUGCUGGCGUAAUGGUCAUCAACGACCCGUCUUGAAACACGGACCAAGGAGUCGUCUUCGUAUGCGAGUGUUCGGGUGUCAAACCCCUACGCGUAAUGAAAGUGAACGCAGGUGAGAGCUUCGGCGCAUCAUCGACCGAUCCUGAUGUUCUCGGAUGGAUUUGAGUAAGAGCAUACGGGGCCGGACCCGAAAGAAGGUGAACUAUGCCUGUGUAGGGUGAAGCCAGAGGAAACUCUGGUGGAGGCUCGCAGCGGUUCUGACGUGCAAAUCGAUCGUCAAACAUGGGCAUGGGGGC